rnacentral:misc_RNA from 1 species
UCCGGCUUAUCACCGGCGGUUUCUUUAGAGUGCCCAACUAAAUGAUGGCAACUAAAGACGAGGGUUGCGCUCGUUGCGGGACUUAACCCAUACGGGACAUGUCAAGGGCUGGUAAGGUUCUGCGCGUUGCUUCGAAUUGAACCACAUGCUCCACCGCUUGUGCGGGCCCCCGUCAAUUCCUUUGAGUUUUAAUCUUGCGACCGUACUCCCCAGGCGGGAUGCUUAAUGCGUUAGCUGCGCCACUGACCGGUAAACCGGCCAACGGCUAGCAUCCAUCGUUUACGGCGUGGACUAC